GAGUUUGAUCUUGGCUCAGAUUGAACGCUGGCGGCAUGCCUUACACAUGCAAGUCGAACGGCAGCAUGAUCUAGCUUGCUAGAUUGAUGGCGAGUGGCGAACGGGUGAGUAAUACAUCGGAACGUGCCCUGUAGUGGGGAUAACUAGUCGAAAGAUUAGCUAAUACCGCAUACGACCUGAGGGUGAAAGUGGGGGACCGCAAGGCCUCAUGCUAUAGGAGCGGCCGAUGUCUGAUUAGCUAGUUGGUGGGGUAAAGGCCCACCAAGGCGACGAUCAGUAGCUGGUCUGAGAGGACGAUCAGCCACACUGGGACUGAGACACGGCCCAGACUCCUACGGGAGGCAGCAGUGGGGAAUUUUGGACAAUGGGCGAAAGCCUGAUCCAGCAAUGCCGCGUGUGUGAAGAAGGCCUCGGUUGUAAG
rnacentral:rRNA from 1 species